rnacentral:rRNA from 1 species
GACGAACGCUGGCGGUGUGCUUAACACAUGCAAGUCGAACGGUAAGGCCCUUUCGGGGGUACACGAGUGGCGAACGGGUGAGUAACACGUGAGUAACCUGCCCUCAUCUCUGGGAUAACAGUCGGAAACGGUUGCUAAUACUGGAUAUGAGCUUGCAAGGCAUCUUGUGGGUUGGAAAGAUUUUUUUGGUUGGGGAUGGACUCGCGGCCUAUCAGCUUGUUGGUGAGGUAGUGGCUCACCAAGGCUUCGACGGGUAGCCGGCCUGAGAGGGCGACCGGCCACAUUGGGACUGAGAUACGGCCCAAACUCCUACGGGAGGCAGCAGUGGGGAAUAUUGCACAAUGGACGGAAGUCUGAUGCAGCAACGCCGCGUGCGGGAUGACGGCCUUCGGGUUGUAAACCGCUUUCAAUUGUGACGAAGCUUUUUGUGACGGUAGCAGUAGAGGAAGCACCGGCUAACUACGUG